UACGAAGGGGGCUAGCGUUGCUCGGAAUCACUGGGCGUAAAGCGCACGUAGGCGGAUCUUUAAGUCAGGGGUGAAAUCCUGGAGCUCAACUCCAGAACUGCCUUUGAUACUGGGGAUCUCGAGUCCGGGAGAGGUGAGUGGAACUGCGAGUGUAGAGGUGAAAUUCGUAGAUAUUCGCAAGAACACCAGUGGCGAAGGCGGCUCACUGGGCCCGGUACUGACGCUGAGGUGCGAAAGCUAGGGGAGCGAACAGG
rnacentral:rRNA from 1 species